UCGGGUAUGGUGUAACGGCUAACAUUGCCGCCUCUCAUUGGGUUUAGAACGCGGCAGCUCGGGGUUCGAUUCCCCGUACCCGAA